GGUGAACGCUGGCGGUAGGCCUAACACAUGCAAGUCGAACGGCAGCACAGUAAGAGCUUGCUCUUACGGGUGGCGAGUGGCGGACGGGUGAGGAAUACAUCGGAAUCUACUUUUUCGUGGGGGAUAACGUAGGGAAACUUACGCUAAUACCGCAUACGACCUACGGGUGAAAGCAGGGGAUCUUCGGACCUUGCGCGAUUGAAUGAGCCGAUGUCGGAUUAGCUAGUUGGCGGGGUAAAGGCCCACCAAGGCGACGAUCCGUAGCUGGUCUGAGAGGAUGAUCAGCCACACUGGAACUGAGACACGGUCCAGACUCCUACGGGAGGCAGCAGUGGGGAAUAUUGGACAAUGGGCCCAAUCCUGAUCCAGCCAUACCGCGUGGGUGAAGAAGGCCUUCGGGUUGUAAAGCCCUUUUGUUGGGAAAGAAAAGCAGCAGGUUAAUACCCCGCUGUUCUGACGGUACCCAAAGAAUAAGCACCGGCUAACUUCGUG
rnacentral:rRNA from 1 species